rnacentral:rRNA from 1 species
AUGAACGCUAGCGGCAGGCCUAAUACAUGCAAGUCGGACGGGAUUCAGGAGCUUGCUUCUGAUGAGAGUGGCGCACGGGUGCGUAACACGUAUGUAACCUACCUUUAUCAGGGGGAUAGCCUCUCGAAAGAGAGAUUAAGCCCGCAUAAAAUCACAGCACAGCAUUGUGUAAUGAUCAAAUAUUUAUAGGAUAAAGAUGGGCAUGCGGAACAUUAGCUAGAUGGCGGGGUAACGGCCCACCAUGGCGACGAUGUUUAGGGGAUCUGAGAGGAUGGCCCCCCACACUGGUACUGAGACACGGACCAGACUCCUACGGGAGGUAGCAGUAAGGAAUAUUGAUCAAUGGGCGGAAGCCUGAACCAGCCAUGCCGCGUGCAGGAAGACGGCCCUACGGGUUGUAAACUGCUUUUAUACGGGAAUAAACCCAGAUACGUGUAUCUGGCUGAAUGUACUGUAAGAAUAAGGAUCGGCUAACUCCGUG